UACGGAGGGUGCAAGCGUUAUCCGGAUUCACUGGGUUUAAAGGGUGCGUAGGUGGUUUUGUAAGUCAGUGGUGAAAGCCCGGAGCUUAACUCCGGAACUGCCAUUGAUACUGCUUAACUUGAAUCAACUUGAGGUGGAUGGAAUAUUACAUGUAGCGGUGAAAUGCUUAGAUAUGUAAUAGAACACCGAUUGCGAAGGCAGCUCGUUACACGAAUAUUGACUCUGAGGCACGAAAGCGUGGGGAUCAAACAGG
rnacentral:rRNA from 1 species